CUAGCCGUAAACGAUGGAUACUAGGUGUUAGAGGUAUCGACCCCUCUAGUGCCGGAGCUAACGCAUUAAGUAUCCCGCCUGGGGAGUACGACCGCAAGGUUGAAACUCAAAGGAAUUGACGGGGGCCCGCACAAGCGGUGGAGCAUGUGGUUUAAUACGUCACUAACCGUAGAACCUUACCCAGGCUUGACAUCUAGGGAAUCUGGAUGAAAGUUCGGAGUGCCUUCGGGAGCCCUAAGACAGGUGU
rnacentral:rRNA from 1 species